rnacentral:rRNA from 1 species
CCCCUAGGAGGAUCCUGAGUACGGCGGAACACGAGGAAUUCCGUCGGAAUCCGGGAGGACCAUCUCCCAAGGCUAAAUACUCCCUAGUGACCGAUAGUGAACCAGUACCGUGAGGGAAAGGUGAAAAGCACCCCGGGAGGGGAGUGAAAUAGAACCUGAAACCGUGUGCCUACAACAAGUUAGAGCCCGUUAAUGGGUGAUAGCGUGCCUUUUGUAGAAUGAACCGGCGAGUUACGAUUGCAUGCGAGGUUAAGUUGAAGAGACGGAGCCGUAGCGAAAGCGAGUCUGAAUAGGGCGAGUGAGUAUGUAGUCGUAGACCCGAAACCAUGUGAUCUACCCAUGUCCAGGUUGAAGGUGCGGUAAAACGCACUGGAGGACCGAACCAGGACACGUUGAAAAGUGUUUGGAUGAGGUGUGGGUAGCGGAGAAAUUCCAAACGAACUUGGAGAUAGCUGGUUCUCUCCGAAAUAGCUUUAGGGCUAGCCUCGGAAGUGAGAAUGAUGGAGGUAGAGCACUGUUUGGACUAGGGGCCCAUCUCGGGUUACCGAAUUCAGAUAAACUCCGAAUGCCAUUCAUUUAUAUCCGGGAGUCAGACUGCGAGUGAUAAGAUCCGUAGUCGAAAGGGAAACAGCCCAGACCACCAGCUAAGGUCCCCAAAUGUAUGUUAAGUGGAAAAGGAUGUGGGGUUGCACAGACAACUAGGAUGUUGGCUUAGAAGCAGCCACCAUUUAAAGAGUGCGUAAUAGCUCACUAGUCGAGUGACCCUGCGCCGAAAAUGUACCGGGGCUAAACAUACUACCGAAGCUGUGGAUUGCACUUAGGUGCAAUGGUAGGAGAGCGUUCUAAGGGCGUUGAAGGUAGAUCGUGAGGACUGCUGGAGCGCUUAGAAGUGAGAAUGCCGGUAUGAGUAGCGAAAGACAGGUGAGAAUCCUGUCCACCGAAUAACUAAGGUUUCCUGGGGAAGGCUCGUCCGCCCAGGGUUAGUCGGGACCUAAGCCGAGGCCGACAGGCGUAGGCGAUGGACAACAGGUUGAUAUUCCUGUACUCGUUGUUUUUGUUUGAGCAAUGGAGGGACGCAGGAGGCUAGGAAGAGCAAACAGUUGGAAAAGUUUGUCUAAGCAGUAAGUCUUGUGAUGAGUCAAAUGCUUGUCACUAUAAGGAUGAGCUGUGAUGGGGAGGUUGAUUAAGAUCGACCGAGCUUCUGAUGUCACACUGCCAAGAAAAGCUUCUAGUGAGAAAACAACGACCCGUACCGCAAACCGACACAGGUAGUUGAGGAGAGAAUCCUAAGGUGAGCGAGAGAACUCUCGUUAAGGAACUCGGCAAAAUGACCCCGUAACUUCGGGAGAAGGGGUGCUGCUCUAUGAGCAGCCGCAGUGAAUAGGCCCAAGCGACUGUUUAUCAAAAACACAGGUCUCUGCAAAAUCGUAAGAUGAAGUAUAGGGGCUGACGCCUGCCCGGUGCUGGAAGGUUAAGAGGAGUGCUUAGCGCAAGCGAAGGUACGAAUUGAAGCCCCAGUAAACGGCGGCCGUAACUAUAACGGUCCUAAGGUAGCGAAAUUCCUUGUCGGGUAAGUUCCGACCCGCACGAAAGGCGUAACGAUUUGGGCACUGUCUCAACGAGAGACUCGGUGAAAUUUUAGUACCUGUGAAGAUGCAGGUUACCCGCGACAGGACGGAAAGACCCCAUGGAGCUUUACUGUAGUUUGAUAUUGAGUGUCUGUACCGCAUGUACAGGAUAGGUAGGAGCCGUAGAAGCCGGGACGCCAGUUUCGGCAGAGGCGCUGGUGGGAUACUAC